CAAGGACUACAUGUCCACUGAAUCAAUUGAAAGAUGAGGAAAUACAAACAAUGAAUAUGUAUUAUUUCAAUAGAUUUUGCAGUGAAGUGCAAGUGGUAAUUGAUCUUGAUAGAGGGCAUAGAAUAGAAUGAUGCUGGAUUUUUACAUGAGGAAGAUUGGAACAUCUUACUGAGAGGUUUUCUUAGGUUUUCUGAGUUAACUUCUGAAAGCUAUGGAACUACUUCUCCCACCUGUGGCAUUCUGAGCUUGGGUUCAAGGGAAGGAAUCACAGGCGAAGAUUGGAAUCUGAGUCAUGGCAAUACUACAGUGAUCCCUCUUUUCUUUACAACCCAGUCACCACCCUCCGGAGCUGCUCAGAAAACUCUGAAACCAGUAUGAUCAUAAGGAAAACAUCAACUGAGGGACAAGAUACGUGCUCAAGUUUCCUUAAAACUGUCAAGGUCGUCAGUGCAAGGAAAGUCCGAUGAAAAUGUCAUAGUUAAGAGGCUCUGAACAAGACAAGACAACUAAAUGUAAAGUCAUAUCCUGGGUAGGAUCCUGGAACAGAAAAAGGACAUCAGAUUAAAAACUAAGGAUAUCUGAAUUAAGUUCAGAAUUCACUUAAUAAUAAUGUCUCAAAGUCAGUUCAUUUAUUGUAACAAAUGUACCAUACUAAUGUAAUAUGGGGUAUAAUAAUAGUAGAAACUGGGUGAUGAUACA